rnacentral:rRNA from 1 species
AGCGAACGCUGGCGGCAGGCCUAACACAUGCAAGUCGAGCGGCCGUAGCAAUACGGCAGCGGCAGACGGGAUAGUAACACGUGGGAACGCGCCCUUCGGUUCGGAAUAACUCAGGGAAACUUGAGCUAAUACCGGAUACGCCCUUACGGGAAAGAUUUAUUGCCGAAGGAACGGCCCGCGUCGGAUUAGCUAGUUGGUGAGGUAAUGGCUCACCAAGGCGACGAUCCGUAGCUGGUCUGAGAGGAUGACCAGCAUCACUGGGACUGAGACACGGCCCAGACUCCUACGGGAGGCAGCAGUGGGGAAUAUUGGACAAUGGGCGCAAGCCUGAUCCAGCCAUGCCGCGUGGAUGAUGAAGGCCCUAGGGUUGUAAAGUCCUUUUAACGGGAAGAAUAAUGACGGUACCCGUAGAAUAAGCCCCGGCUAACUUCGUGCCAGCCGCCGCGGUAAG